AUGCAACAGCUACAGAGAAUAAAGACUUUUGUGUGCAGCAGUUUGUCUUGUUUAAACCUACCAGUCACAGUGAUGCUGACACUGUUGCUGCACUCUCCUGCUGCAGACUCACACCAGUACACUCCAGAGUCUGAUGGAUGAGUUUCCCUGCGGCUCACAGAUCAGAGAGACGGACUCGUACUGGAAGAACUGGGAUCUGUUGGGAACGACUCUGAGAGCGGCUGCAAGACACAAACAGAUGGAGGGAAAGUGAGAUUGUCAUGAUGAAUCCGCCUCACUCAACAACAUCUAAAAUAAAACAUCUGACCUUUUACACUUA